rnacentral:rRNA from 1 species
CCCCGCACAAGCAGCGGAGCGUGUGGUUUAAUUCGAUGCUACACGAAAAACCUUACCUACCCUUGACAUGUCUGGAACCUUGGUGAGAGCCGAGGGUGCCUUCGGGAGCCAGAACACAGGUGCUGCAUGGCUGUCGUCAGCUCGUGUCGUGAGAUGUUGGGUUAAGUCCCGCAACGAGCGCAACCCUUGUCACUAGUUGCCAUCAUUUAGUUGGGCACUCUAGUGAGACUGCCGGUGACAAACCGGAGGAAGGUGGGGAUGACGUCAAGUCCUCAUGGCCCUUAUGGGUAGGGCUUCACACGUCAUACAAUGGUCGGUACAGAGGGUUGCCAAGCCGCGAGGUGGAGCCAAUCCCUUAAAGCCGAUCGUAGUCCGGAUCGUAGUCUGCAACUCGACUACGUGAAGUCGGAAUCGCUAGUAAUCGUGGAUCAGAAUGUCACGGUGAAUACGUUCCCGGGUCUU